rnacentral:rRNA from 1 species
UAAUCUUGUUAGUGACGAGUUGUGCUACCUCUCGAGGUAGUGCUAGGCUUAAAGAGUGGUGUUUGACUACGGUUGGCCCACCGCCCUGUUUGUUUGUUUCCACAAUCAUUUUACACUGUUAAAGUGGUUCAAGUUGGCUUCGGCUGGUUUGGAUCAUUGCCCCCAACAUGCACCUGGCGUGAGCUAGUCUGCACGUUUAGUCGCCUGGCGGUGCCUUAUCCCAGGUAGGACUACAAAAACCUUAGUUCAUUUGGGAAACCAAUGAUCUAGGUUAGUACAACUCUGAGCGGUGGAUCACUCGGCUCGUGUGUCGAUGAAGAGUGCAGCCAACUGUGUGAAUUAAUGUGAACUGCAUACUGCUUUGAACAUCGACAUCUUGAACGCACAUUGCGGCCAUGGGCUAGCUCAUGGCCACGCCUGUCCGAGGGUCGGCUUAUAAACUAUCACGACGCCCAAAAAGUCGUGGCUUGGGUCUUGCCAGCUGACGUGAUUUCCCUAUUGGUGCAAACUAACGGGGUGUCAGAUCUAUGGCGUUUCCCUAAUAAUUCCAGUUACAACCUCCUUUUGGCUGAAGGCUAUAUUGGAGGGUGACUGUGGAGUCGUGGCUCAAUGGUUAUGUUUGCGCGCGCUCUGCAUUGUCACCACUGUAUCUGUCAAACGUGAAAUGCUUUGUGCAUUUUACCUGACCUCGGAUCAGACGUGAAUACCCGCUGAACUUAAGCAUAUCACUAAGCGGAGGAAAAGAAACUAACAAGGAUUCCCUUAGUAACGGCGAGUGAACAGGGAAAAGCCCAGCACCGAAGCCUGUGGCCAUUUGGUCAUUAGGCAAUGUGGUGUUUAGGUCGUUCCACAGAGGUUCUGCUCCAUCCUAAGUCCAUCAAUGAGUACGGUAGUAUGGACAUGGCCCAUUGAGGGUGAAAGGCCCGUGGGGGUGGAGACAUCGAAAGGCCAGAGCCUCUCUGGGUAGACCUUGGAGUCGGGUUGUUUGUGAAUGCAGCCCAAAGCGGGUGGUAAACUCCAUCCAAGGCUAAAUACUUGCACGAGUCCGAUAGAGAACAAGUACCGUGAGGGAAAGUUGAAAAGUACUUUGAAGAGAGAGUAAACAGUGCGUGAAACCGCUCAGAGGUAAACGGGUGGAGUUGAACUGCAAGCUUUGAGAAUUCAGCUGAUGAGUGUGGUUUGAGCUGGGUCAAAUUGGUGAACUCCGGAGUCUGCGUAUGAUCAGGUUCUCAUCUUCGGGUGAGGAUGCGCGAUGCACUUAUCAAGUGUUGUGCGCUUCGGUUGUUCCUCGGCCUGCUCGUCAGUGCACUUUCUCAGAGUAGUCACCACGACCGGCAUAUAUGCCUGGUGGAUACGGUUAAACCGGACUUGCAUUGUCUUGAUCGGCUUUGCUCGUUCGGGAUGGCAGGUAUCUCGUUGGCUUGUCUGUGGCUUGCUACAGGCUUUCGGUCUUCGAGUGUAAUCAGCUGACCGUACUAAACUUGUGCAGAAUGUCGGAGAUAGCGGCUUGUGGUGUGUUCAUUUGCAUUUGUUUGCUGACUUGUCCGGGUUUGGUUAUUUAGUUGCCUGUUAAAGCAGGCCUGGUGAUGGCUCGGAUACGUUCGGUAGAUGUUUGCAUAUGUGGCACUAUUCCAAGGGCCAAUAGUCUGUGGUGUAGUGGUAGACUUUCCACCCGACCCGUCUUGAAACACGGACCAAGGAGAGUAACAUGUACGCGAGUCAUUGGGCGUUACGAAACCCACAGGCGAAGUGAAAGUAAAGAUCUGACUUGUUCAGAUUGAGGUGAGAUCCUGUCGUUUCUCACGCAUGGUACUACCCAGCACCGAGCGGCAGGCGCAUCACCGGCCCGUCCCAUGGCAGUUGUUUUCGGACCGUUUUCGGUCGGGGCGGAGCAUGAGCGUACAUGUUGAGACCCGAAAGAUGGUGAACUAUGCUUGCGCAGGCUGAAGCCAGAGGAAACUCUGGUGGAGGGCCGCAGCGAUUCUGACGUGCAAAUCGAUCGUCAAACGUGAGUAUAGGGGCGAA